rnacentral:rRNA from 1 species
UGGGGAAUAUUGGACAAUGGGCGCAAGCCUGAUCCAGCCAUGCCGCGUGAGUGAUGAAGGCCCUAGGGUUGUAAAGCUCUUUCACCGGUGAAGAUAAUGACGGUAACCGGAGAAGAAGCCCCGGCUAACUUCGUGCCAGCAGCCGCGGUAAUACGAAGGGGGCUAGCGUUGUUCGGAUUUACUGGGCGUAAAGCGCACGUAGGCGGACUAUUAAGUCAGGGGUGAAAUCCCGGGCUCAACCCCGGAACUGCCUUUGAUACUGGUCGUCUUGAGUUCGAGAGAGGUGAGUGGAAUUCCGUGUGUAGAGGUGAAAUUCGUAGAUAUUCGGAGGAACACCAGUGGCGAAGGCGGCUCACUGGCUGGAUACUGACGCUGAGGUGCGAAAGCGUGGGGAGCAAACAGG